GAUGAACGCUGGUGGCGUGCCUAAUACAUGCAAGUCGAGCGAACAGAUAAGGAGCUUGCUCCUUUGACGUUAGCGGCGGACGGGUGAGUAACACGUGGGUAACCUACCUAUAAGACUGGGAUAACUUCGGGAAACCGGAGCUAAUACCGGAUAACAUUUGGAACCGCAUGGUUCUAAAGUGAAAGAUGGUUUUGCUAUCACUUAUAGAUGGACCCGCGCCGUAUUAGCUAGUUGGUAAGGUAACGGCUUACCAAGGCGACGAUACGUAGCCGACCUGAGAGGGUGAUCGGCCACACUGGAACGGAGACACGGUCCAGACUCCUACGGGAGGCAGCAGUAGGGAAUCUUCCGCAAUGGGCAAAAGCCUGACGGAGCAACGCCGCGUGAGUGAUGAAGGGUUUCGGCUCGUAAAACUCUGUUAUUAGGGAAGAACAAACGUGUAAGUAACUGUGCACGUCUUGACGGUACCUAAUCAGAAAGCCACGGCUAACUACGUGCCAGCCGCCGCCGUAA
rnacentral:rRNA from 1 species